rnacentral:rRNA from 1 species
GAUAAACGCUGGCGGCGUGCCUAACACAUGCAAGUCGAACGCCCUACGCAAGUAGGGAGUGGCGGACGGGUGAGGAACACGUGGGUUAUCUGCCUUGAGGUGAGGAAUACCGGCGAGAAAUCGCCGACAAUACCGCAUACGUUCGUAAGAACAAAGUCGCAAGACGCCCCAAGAUGAGCCUGCGUCCGAUUAGCUAGUUGGUGGGGUAAAAGCCUACCAAGGCAGCGAUCGGUAGCUGGUCUGAGAGGACGAUCAGCCACACUGGGAUUGAGAACGGCCCAGACUCCUACGGGGGGCAGCAGUGAGGAAUUUUCGUCAAUGGCCGAAAGGCUGAACGAGCAACGCCGCGUGCAGGAAGAAGGUCUUCGGAUCGUAAACUGCUUUUCUGGGGGAAGAGACCGGACGGUACCCCAGGAAGAACGCCCCGGCUAACUACGUGCCAGC